CCUUGGGGUGCAAGCUGUUCCUUCCCAUGGCAGCCAAGCCUUGCUGCUGCCGUAAGCCAGGGAUUCUUGGCCCAUUCUAAAACGACUGGAUGCUUCCUGGGAGCUCCCUUCUCUAGAGAAGGCCAGGAAGUUCUGUGCCCAUGAAUAAGCAGAUCUAAUAGUGUGGCUGAAUGUGGUGUUGGCUCAUGUCUGCAACCCCAGCAUUUAAGAGAAGAGACAGAAGGGGGAAGAGACAGAAGGAUCAUGAAUUUGAGAAAACCUGUGCAACAUAGCAAAAUCCAAGUGAGCCUGGACUACAACAAGAUCUUGUCUCAAAAGAUUUUUUAAAUUUUACCUGUACGAGUGCUUCGCCUUCAUGCACACAUGUGCACUAUGUGUGUGCCUGAUGCUUUCAGAGGCAGAAGAGGGCAUUAGAUCUCCUGGGACUGGAGUCACAGAAGAAUGUGAACAGCCACGCGAGUGCUGGGAUUCAAAUUUGGAUCCUGUUCAAGAGCAGCAAGCACACUUGAUCUCUGGACCAUCCCCUACCCAGCAUGUAGUUCUUCUGCAGAGGAUCUGGGUUUGGUUCCCAGCACCUACAUGAUAACUUACAACAUUUGGAAACCCACUUCCAGGGGACCCAAAACUGUCAUCUGGCCUCUAUGAGUACCAGGCACACAUGUGCACAAACACACAUCCAAGCCAAACACACACAUGAAAUAAAUCUUUUAAAAAAAAAAAGAUGUU